AUUUGAGAUUACUUUGACUGGAUUUAUUGCUUAUUGAUUAGUCCAUUCUUCAAAUUUUUAGAGUAUCCUAAAAUGACCACCCAGUGGGAUCCUUAGAAUAUGCACUUGACGAAAAAGGCAAGCUGCAUGUAUUUGUCUAGGACCUGGCGUUUCAUGGGUACCAAUGAAUAGAAUAACCAAAAUGCGUUGGCAUUUAUUCGACGAAAACAUGACGGGCACUUCUAUCCUCUAGACAGCGCCUUAUUUCGCAAUUUUCUUUCUCCAGCAUCGUGCAAAUUGGAUAAAGUUUCGCAAAAUGGAUGCAAUUAGGCCCUGCAAACUGGUUAUUUUCCUAACAAUAACAGUAAUUUAUAUUU